UUUAUCCAAUUUAAUUGGAGAGCCACCGGAAAGGACAAGUUUGCCCCCGUUGCCGACUAAUUACUCCCGCGGAACCGGCCGCAGCCUUAUCCAAUCGUUGAUUCGUCGCACGCUCCCUUCCAUCCUCGCGAACAGCGAACUGCAUUCGCCGCCGGCGGUCCCUCCCGAUGCAGCCCCCUCCCCGCGAGGGCCCUUCUGGCAUUGGCUCCUCCCGGAGCGCUUCCCUUAUGGGCGGAGGGGAGUCGAGCAGCUCUGGGGAGCCGGGACGGGUGACCGUACUGGAGCUUGGAGCUCGAUCUGCUUUGCCGGAUGCCGGUGGACAUGAGAUAGAGCUGCUCCUUUGCCUUGCCAUUUGAAUAUGGAUUCUGCAAAGGAUUUAGUUUGGUGUUGAUUUUGGAGGGAGGGGGCUACUCCAGCCGUCGAGAGGGGCCGACGCGGGGAUGAACUACCGCAGCCGCCGGGAGAGGCCUGCGGAGGAAUGCACGACGCCCGCUUCUGACGCGGGGCUUGCUCGAGGUGGACGCGGCUCCCGCUCCUGGACACGCGCGUACGAUGUCAGCUCGAGGCAGCCAAGACGCUCGAUCCCGGCGGGGCUCAGUCCAGGAGGCCGCGCGCUACGGCACCACUCCAGAAGAUGGCGAAGAGGACAGGGGUAUACUAGUCUUUUACAAGUGUUUGAUCCGUUCGAGUAGAAAAUGUUAUUAAAUGAACCAUAGUUUCCAGCAGCAUAUUUACAUAGAAUUGUAGGUGGUGUGUGGCAAAAGACACAUUUUAAGUUUUUAA